CAGAGAACCCCAGCUUCCUGCGGUAACAGACUAAAGUAGACAAAGUCAUCUCUCACAUGUUAGGGGAGAGAAGUAGUCUGGUAGUGACAUGUGUUGAGUGCAACCAGUGAGUAAUUACUCUGUGCGUGAACUCAGUCAACCCUAUUGAGAUGUGUGAUACUGAUAGCCUCCUUACACAGGUGGGAAAUUGGGGCAUGCAGGAGGGAAGGAAGUUACAGAGCUGCUCAGUGGAGGAACUGAGAUUCAAAUCCAAAGCCAGCCGGCUCCAGAGUGUAAAACACUGGGAAAAGGUCCUUCCAUAGGAGGGGAAACUGUGGCCAAGGAGCCAGAUACUGGGCAGUGUCACUUUAAGGAGAGCUGUAUAAACAGUGAUAUUUAAUGAAGGUGAAAGAAAACUAAGGGAAGAAGACGCUCUUGAUUGGAGAUCGGAGCUCCCCAGUCCAGGCUCAGGGGAUCUGAACCCCAGUGUGACAUACAAACAUGUAAAUAGAAAAAUUAACAGCCACACUGUAAAGUCUGUAGCAAAUAUAAAGUGUUCUGGGAGCAAAAGAAACAGAACUUCAGUAGCCUGGAAGAAUCAGGGAAGCCUUCAUCAGGGGAGAGGCAACAAAAUAGCUCUCUUACAGGCUUCACCCCAGGAACGAUCCCUGUCGGCAUCUACUCUCCCUCCACUGGCCAGAGCAAGUGCAUGACCGGUCCUAACAUCAAGGGCAUCAGAAGUUCAACCCUACCUCGUACCUAGAAGGAGAAAUGGAAAUGUCACUGAACAGCUCAGAAACUCAGGGAUGUUGAGGACUUUGCUGAAAGUUGCCCAGAUGUUACAUGGCAUACCUGGCAUUUGAAGUCAGGUCUUUUCACCAUUAAGGCCCUGCUCCUUUCAUAAGCCAUGCUACCCCCUGCGAUGGAAAACAAACAUAACAAGUUAGAUCCAGCAAUGACACCAGUUAAAGAGAGGCCAAGUGAUUGAGGCAAGAGGAACAGUAUAUAAACAAACACAACGUACACAAUCACAAAGAAAGGAAAACCAGGAAAGACCCAGAUUUUGUUUUUAUUUUGUUUUUAAAAGUCACACCAGGGAAUGUUAGUGUGUUUGUGGUUCCUAAAAACUCUGUGCAACUCG
rnacentral:lncRNA from 1 species